rnacentral:rRNA from 1 species
CUCCGGUUGAUCCUGCCGGACCUGACUGCUAUCGGAUUGGUACUAAGCCAUGCGAGUCGUUGUAGCAAUACAAGGCGGACGGCUCAGUAACACGUAGUCAACCUAACCUAUGGACGUGGAUAACCUCGGGAAACUGAGAAUAAACCGCGAUAGAUCAUUAUGCCUGGAAUGGCUUAUGGUUCAAACAAUUUAUUGCCGUAGGAUGGGACUGCGGCCUAUCAGCUUGUUGGUGAGGUAAUGGCCCACCAAGGCUAUAACAGGUACGGGCUCUGAGAGGAGAAGCCCGGAGAUGGGUACUGAGACACGGACCCAGGCCCUAUGGGGCGCAGCAGGCGAGAAACCUUAGCAAUGUGCGAAAGCACGACUAGGUUAAUCCGAGUGAUUUCUGUUGAAGAAAUCUUUUGUCAGUCGUAAAACCACAGACGAAUAAGGGGUGGGCAAGUCUGGUGUCAGCCGCCGCGGUAAUACCAGCACCUCGAGUGGUCAGGAGGUUUAUUGGGCCUAAAGCAUCCGUAGCCGGCUACGCAAGUCUCCGGUUAAAUCCAGCUGCUCAACAGAUGGGCUGCCGGAGAUACUACAUAGCUAGGGAGCGGGAGAGGUAGACGGUAUUCUGUGGGUAGGGGUAAAAUCCACUGAUCCAUAGAGGACCACCAGUGGCGAAGGCGGUCUACCAGAACGCGUUCGACGGUGAGGGAUGAAAGCUGGGGGAGCAAACCGGAUUAGAUACCCGGGUAGUCCCAGCUGUAAACGAUGCAAACUCGGUGAUGCAUUGGCUUAUGGCCAAUGCAGUGCCGCAGGGAAGCCGUUAAGUUUGCCGCCUGGGAAGUACGGACGCAAGUCUGAAACUUAAAGGAAUUGGCGGGGGAGCA